GGAGGAAGAGAAACUAACAAGGAUUCCCCUAGUAACUGCGAGUGAAGCGGGAAGAGCUCAAAUUUAAAAUCUGGCGGUCUUGUGGCCGUCCGAGUUGUAGUCUGGAGAAGUGUUAUCCGCGUCGGACCGUGUACAAGUCUCCUGGAAUGGAGCGUCAUAGAGGGUGAGAAUCCCGUCCAUGACACGGACGCCCGAUGCUUUGUGAGGCACUCUCGAAGAGUCGAGUUGUUUGGGAAUGCAGCUCAAAAUGGGUGGUAAAUUCCAUCUAAAGCUAAAUAUUGGCGAGAGACCGAUAGCGAACAAGUACCGUGAGGGAAAGAUGAAAAGCACUUUGGAAAGAGAGUUAAACAGUACGUGAAAUUGUUGAAAGGGAAACGCUUGAAGUCAGUCGCGUCCCGUAGAACUCAGCCUGGCCUCGGUCUGGUGUACUUUCUAUGUGGACGGGUCAACAUCAGUUUUGGCCGGUGGAAAAAGGCAGAGGGAAUGUAGCGCCGCUUCGGUGGCGUGUUAUAGCCCUUUGUCGAAUACACUGGCGGGGACUGAGGACUGCAGCACGCCCUUGUGGCCGGGGGUUCGCCCCACGUUACGUGCUUAGGAUGUUGGCAUAAUGGCUUUAAGCGACCCG
rnacentral:rRNA from 2 species